rnacentral:piRNA from 1 species
UCCCAGUGGCCUCUUUCAGCCCAGCCCAGC